rnacentral:rRNA from 1 species
AACGAACGCUGGCGGCAGGCUCAACACAUGCAAGUCGAACGCCCCGCAAGGGGAGUGGCAGACGGGUGAGUAACGCGUGGGAAUCUACCCAGUUCUACGGAACAACAGAGGGAAACUUCUGCUAAUACCGUAUACGCCCCAAGGGGGAAAGAUUUAUCGGAAUUGGAUGAGCCCGCGUAAGAUUAGCUAGUUGGUGAGGUAAUGGCUCACCAAGGCGACGAUCUUUAGCUGGUCUGAGAGGAUGAUCAGCCACACUGGGACUGAGACACGGCCCAGACGCAUACGGGAGGCAGCGGUGGGGAAUAUUGGACAAGGGGCGCAAGCCUGAUCCAGCCAUGCCGCGUGAGUGAUGAAGGCCUUAGGGUUGUAAAGCUCUUUCAGUAGGGAAGAUAAUGACGGUACCUACAGAAGAAGCCCCGGCUAACUUCGUGCCAGCCGCCGCAGUAAUAC